rnacentral:rRNA from 1 species
UACGUAGGCAGCAAGCGUUGUUCGGAAUUACUGGGCGUAAAGAGUGUGUAGGCGGUGCUCUAAGUUCGGUGUGAAAUCUCCCGGCUUAACUGGGAGGGUGCGCCGGAAACUGGAGCGCUCGAGCGUGGGAGAGGAAAGCGGAAUUCCUGGUGUAGCGGUGAAAUGCGUAGAUAUCAGGAGGAACACCUGCGGUGUAGACGGCUUUCUGGACCAUUGCUGACGCUGAGACACGAAAGCGUGGGUAGCAAACAGG